CAAGCUUGAAAAUAACACUGUACUAUUACGAAGAGGAUACGUCUCAAGCGGGCGAAAGGUAUGCCAGUUUAUAUUUUUGUUCAGAUAAUUGAGUAAUUUGAUCAUUAUACGAUCUCACUAGACUUUCAAAGGCCAUAAAUUGCUACAAUGUUGAUAUUGACAAAACCAGGAAUUAGGAGAUAUCGUUUCACUAAAUCGAAUGGUGGUAUUUUUGUCUUGCAACGAACCGAAGAUAUGAACCUUCAAAUUGGGAUGGCGAUAUCGCCCCCAAUAACUGGGAUGGGUUGACAAAGAGUUUUAAAACGAUUUAACGACAAACACGGAAGAAGGAAGGAUUAUAUAACCAGGAGUUAUUGAAACAGACACAAGUAUUCGUAAGGCUCUGCCGAUUGUUUAAAGAUACUUUGGUUUAGAGUGAAUGAGAAACGAAGGGAACAUGUCGAGUAAUUUAACAACGGAUGGUUCAAUUGAGGACUGUUUCGAGACAUAUAUUGUUUUGAGACCAACGAGUUCAUACACCAUCAAUAGCAUCUUUGGUUGCGUUGUAAACAUAGCAUUUGCUGUGACAGGAAUAUUCCUUAAUGCACUCGUGAUAUGCGUUUUCUGGAAAACACCAAAACUCCGACUUAAAGUAUCAUAUUUCAUGAUAAUGGUGUUGUCAACAAUUGAUCUCUCUGUCUCAAUCAUCGUUCAUCCAUUACACGUGCUUAAUUCCGUAGCUGAAAUCACAGAAACUGCUAAAUGUGGCUAUAAAAUAACCUACCAAACAUCAGCAGUUGUAUUCUCGGGGAUGUCAUUUCUAACGUUCUUUGUUAUGAAUUGCGAGAGAUAUCUAUCAAUCGUACAUCCAUUCUUUCACCGUAACCACGUCACUAAGCGUAGAUGCCUAUUCAUCGCAUCUCUGGCAUGGAUCGGCUGCAUUGUGACUGGAAUUUCACCCGUAUUUGCUUUAAACAUUCAAAGUUUUAUCACUGCACUUGCACUCAUAGUGAUUAUAGGCACUUUCUAUAUAUAUGUCUGUAUUUUUAUCCAGGCUCGAAAACGACAAACCUCUAGAGACAGGUCUAUAAGUGCAGGGACAGACGAGCUUGAUUUUAAUCAAGAGAAUUCAAGAGGGACGACAGAAGCAAUCCAUUCAAAGAAAACAGUUUCAUUCUUACAUGAUAUACAGCUUGCAAAAAUGUACUUAUUUGUAGUGUUGUCAAGUAUUUUUCUGAACCUACCAAACGCUAUUGUACUAGCACUGUUCGGCGACCGUGUGACAACAGUGGAUGGCGUUGUCCAGGUCAAAAUAUGGACUGUAACUUUGGUUGCAAUGAACUCCACAAUGAACUGUAUAAUAUUUUUUUGGUCAAACAAGCGACUGAGAAAAGAAGGCUGGAGAAUAUGUAAGGAACUUUUCAGGAAGCAGUGACUACGCGGAAUGAGUUGCGGAAUGACAUGCGGAAUGAGUUGCAGAAUGACAUGCGGAAUGAGUUGCGGAAUGAAAAAUUACAUGAACUACAUGGAGUAUACAUUAAGAUUCACUAAUGACAAAACGACUUUAUCUAAUAACGCUGGCAGCUCAAUUUUUUUUGUUUUUUAGUUAUGGUAUGUAUUAAAUUAUUAAUGUUGAACUCACUUGAAUGUGAUAUUAAAAUCGUUUGAAUGUGAUAUUAAAAUCGUA
rnacentral:lncRNA from 1 species